CUUUCUGGUGAUGGAUCAAACACUGUUCUUGGUGUGAGAUUUACAGUCCACUUCCAUCCAUCAGAGCUUGGAUUUCCUCUCCUUUCCCCCCUCCUUUUCUCAUACAACCCACUUAGACACCAAAAAACCCAGCUUCCACUGCAGGUGAGUGGGUGUGUGAGCUCAGGACUGGGCUCCUGAGCUGCCCACAGAAGGGCUCAUCCCACAUGCCCCAGCACUCUCCAGGAUCAUUGGCUGAUGCUGAGAAAGCCAAAAUCUAUAGAGAAAAUAUAUUGGGUUGCUUUAUUAGGAAAUAAUGCAUUAAGAGAGCUUCUGUGGGCUUUGGCCUGCUUAAUAUGGAGCUUGGGGCUAAAAGCAGUGUCAAAGCCAAGACCAACCUAUUACUGGAGGUAAUUCCUACAAUGUUCUAUCCAAUUGCUGGUAUGAGAUGUUCAGAAGCCUUCCAGAGGCUUUUGAAAUAUCCAAGUUUUUUCUCCUCUCUCUUUCCAUGUUCAUUCUCACCCAGCCCAUCUAUGGCUGCUCUGUCCCAGGAGCACCCUGGGUGUCCCCCCGUGCUCAGGGAAGACAGGAGCAGGCAGGGACAUGCCCAGCAUGCCCAUGCAGAGGUGGAGCCUGGGGUCCAUAUGGGCUCAGUUUAAAUGAUGCUCGGGGGACUUUGCAACCAACAAUUAGACAUGUUUACUCAUGUAUUUGCCAGAGGUGCCUCCCUGAGCUCCCAGUAAACAGCAUCAAGAGCUACUUCUCUAAGGAGACUUCCCAGGGCAGAUCCUGACUUCCCCAGGGCUUGUGGUAGGGAGGGCCACGUUCCUGCAGUGUGUGGCAGCAGGAUGGCCAGGUCCCACUCACCAUAUGGUGGCAAGUUUGUAUAGACGGUGAAGAAAGCGAGAGUGCAGCCGUUCACCUGUAUCGACCCCAGCUCUUGCCAGGCUCAACCACAUCAAAGGGCUUGUGGGGAUUACUCAAAAUUCGAGCUGAGCUGCGUGAGGCGGCGGGCAGGCUUGGCAGGGCUGGUCUCGCAGCCUGCCCAUGGGCACGCCAAAAACAAAUGCAUUCAAACAUUUGGUUAGAAAAUGGUUUGGGAAUUUUUUGUCAGGGUUGUUUUCUCUUUUUUUUUCUUUUUUUUCCCUAGGUCUGGAAGCCAUGGGUGAGUCAUGUCCCAGCUUUCCUCAAUGAGAGAUCUAAAGCACGUUAAAAAAAAAAAAAAAAAGCCAAGCAAAACACGUCUGUUGUUUUAAUCACGGCUUGGUUUCACAAGACAUAGCUGGUCUGGGCUGUGAUGCAACUGAGUCUCUUCUUCCAAGUCACACACACGUGGAUUUUUAAGUUUCUUCUGAGAUCCUCUACCAGGCUGGCAAAUCUGCCCAGGUCCAGCCCACGAGCCACCAGAGAGCUGCUGCUGGUUGUCCAAAAUGAGUGUGAGCUGCCCAGUUAGCUCCAGUGGGCACCAGUUCUGAACCUCCUGGGAAGGUCUCAAGCUUAACUGGACAUCUACAAAGGCUGAAGCUGCUAAGAGAGACCACAAAGGUGACUGAGGGGUGAAGAGCAACGUCUGCCACUCUCGUGCCUUGCUUCUGUUGCUGCUGCUGUAGUGUUGGCUGUGGAUGUCUUGCUGAUCUCCUUCCUCUUGGUAAGCAUAGGUCUGGGCAGAGUGGGAAAGGCACAAAACUGCAGAAAAUUACAAUGCUAAGCACUUGAAAAGAGGGAAAAUCCACAUCUAAUAGGAAAAUCCUGUGGUAGAGUGUGCUGAGACAUCUGUCUUGGUACGUAAAGAAGGCAGAGAAGCUGUUGUAAAUAAACCCUUCAGCCUGGAACGUGCAACCAAACCUGCAUCGGGAAAUUCUUGUGCCCUUACGAAGUCAAGACAAAGUCUAUCAGGCUUCAUUCUGAUCCGGGGCACGCCCCUUUGGAUCAAGGUGGAGGACUGGGGCCAUCCUAAUUCCUAGUCAGUAAAAACAAAUAGCUCUAGCAACAGAGGAGAAGCAUGAAAACAAAGUUACUAUCAACACUCUGCCUUUUUGAAAUCCCUUCCAAAUUCUCCAAGGAUAAGAUCAAUGCGAACAAAAACAAUAACAGCUCUGUGUGGAAAGAAGGUGAAAAGGCAGCUCCCUCAGCAGCACACACCCAAGAAAUGGGCUUUGCUUUGCUUUCUUGGAGCUGACAUGAGCCUGGCACAAUUCAGUAGCACCCCAGAGCAUCAGCCAGGUAUUUUUUUUUUAACUUUACGAGCUCUGUAAUGAAAGCAGCGGUCGGCACCCCCUGUGCCAGAGCACUCCAAACCUGCCCGCGAUGGAAUGUGCUGAUAAAGAGGAAUAUUUCCUUGUGGACUUUGUUUGAGACAUAAAUUUAAAUAUUGCUAAUUUCCAGUAUCAGCCUCAGCAAGAGAUUCAACUCUUGGUGAUCCAUCUGUAAAUGGCGGCAGAUCUUUCUAGCUUUGAAUGUUUAAUUAGACAACAGGUGUCAUGACUUCGUCUCCCAGUCUCUCGGUUCUCCUGAGUGGACCAGUGUUUUCUCUGAAAGCACAAUAAAACAGCCAACAAUCCAUUUGUUACAAUGAGACAUCGCAGCCUAGUGUGUUAGGUGUAUGAAAAUGUAAGGUUUUGAUGUGAUUACUGUAUAACAAAUUAGCAGAGCUCAGCUCAGUUCUGAAACAUUCACCUUGAGAAUGAAAUUAAUUCUUUAAGUAAGAACAAUAUUUUUAGAAUAAUCUGAUGGUUUUAAAGUCAACAUUUUGCUACCUUUUAUAAGGCAAAUUUAAAGUUGGGCCUGUGGAUAAAUAUGAGUGACCAAGAUGACUGAAUAGUUGGAGACUAACUUACAGUAUCUUCAGGAAAACUCCUUAAAAAGAGAAGGUAAAAAAAAAUAAAUCACAUUCACAAAUGCAAUUUCUUUCCACCACUGGACCUCUGAGAGGAAAUAAUUAUAUCUCAAAGCUUACAAGAAUGAUCUCUUUAGAAUCUGAAAAGUCACUUGGACAUUAUCUGUACCAAGACUGAAUCACCUCUAACUGUUUUACUAAGUAUAACCAAAAGUAUAACAGACUGUAAGACAGCUUGUUCCGUAAUAAACAUUCACAUGUGAAAGAAGAACAGAGCUUUGAGUCACUGUUUAGCUUUCUUCCCCACGAUCUCAAAUUAAACCCAUGAACAGCUAUCCCUACAAGGGCCUUGCUUCCAUGCUUUGAAUCCUGACAUGCCCUGUGCUGGUCAUGCAGGAACAGACACUGCUGCAGGAUACAAGCCUCUCUCUCUCUCACAUCAGCCACCAAAUUAAUUUGUGUCAACCAAUGUCUUACAGCGCGGUGUAUGCUAACAGGAGGGGGGAAAACCCAAAACAAAACCAAAGCCCAAGACCCCCUGAAGACUGGGAAAAAAUAUAAUUAAUCCAGAAUGAUUAUGUUGCAUUUGGUUUAUCAGAUUCAAGUGGUGGAGGCUGCUAUGUGCAUAUUUUUACUGCCUUUUAUACAGGGUCUCUGCUUGUGACCACUGUCACCCUGAUUCUUUAAUUUGGAAGGAAACUUCAGAUAUCCUGGGUGGGCAGGUUCACAUCCACUCUGAGCUGCCUGAAUACAACAAGCCUAGCUGGCUUGUGCUAGGCCUAAGGAACUGAAACUGUCUGCAUUGUCCAUUCUCAUGUCUGGAAACCUUCGAGAUAUGAAAAUCCGCAGGCACUUUCAGAACAGCUCCAGGAUUUCACAUCUUGUCUGGCCCUUUUAUGUCUGAUUGUGCUUAAUGUUUUCAAACCUUAUAAAAGGCUCUCUACUAUUGCAUGCCACCCCCCAGAAUCAUGCAUAUGCUUUUGAAGAAGGUCAAGGGAGCCUUUAGUCUGCUUUGCUGAGAGCCCAUCUGGAGGACUCCAUUCAGGGGAUCCCAGAACAGGAAGGAGAUCAGCCUGCUGGGGUUGGCUCAGAGAAGACUGUGAAGAUGAGCAGAGGCUGCAGCACAUCCCCUAUGAAGACAGGCUGAGAGCUAGGAGUACUCAGCCUGAAGAAGAAAAGGCUCCAGGGAAACCUUAUUGCAGGUUUUCAGUACUUAAAGGGGGCUUAUAGGAAAGGUGGGGACAAAUGCUUUAGCAGGGCCCGUUGCAAUAGGACAAGAGGUAAUGGUUUUAAACAAAGAGAAGGUUGAUUUCUAUUAGAUAUAAGGAAGAAAUAUUAUACAGUGAGGGUAGUGAGGCACUGUCACAGGUUGUCCAGAGAGGUGGUGGAUGCCUAAUUCCCAGAAACACUCAAAGUCAGACUUGCUAGGACUCUGAGCAACUUGGUCUAGUUGAAGAUGUCCCUGCUCGUUACAGGGGGAUUAGACUAGACAGCCUUUAAAAGUCCCUUCCAAGCCAAACUAUUCAAGGAUUUUAAGUUUUUAAUGGAUUAUCAAAUGCAAUGUAAGGAGACAGUGUGGCUGAUGGCAGCACAGUAGGUAACACAGAAAAAGCUAUGUCUGAACAACAUACAAUUGAGUGCCAUUAGCACUGUCUGUGUACUGAUAAGAGCAUCUUCAGAGCUAUUUUCACAAAGGCAGUUCUUAAACACUUCCUUUUAUGUAUUUAGGCUUGUAUGAGUCACAUUUUGUGCUCAGUUAAACUUUCUCCUCAUUGCUCAACAUCUGGGAUAAUGAUAGUGCCUGGCUCUUUACAUAGAUAUCUCAAGAUCUUCAUCUGGAAAUAUCUCAAAUCACUUGAUAGGUGGGCGAAUUGAGGCAUUAGAGGUGAAGCCAUAUGCCCAAAAUCAUCACUUAGAAGGCCAAAGGCAAAGCUGGAAGAGGCACCCAGUCCUGGCUUCUGCUUGCCAGACAAGCGAGACUGAGUUCGGAUAAUAUUUCUUUUAACAGUUUGUGCUGUGAUUGGUAAAAUUAGAAAAAGAGGGGGUUUAAAAUAAAAACUGUAUACUUCCAUUGCCAAAACAUGUAUGGAUAGCACAGAAUCACAGAAAUGUGUACCUGCUGCAAUCAUCAUCACUAUCCCAAAUAACCAGUAUGAAAA